CGUGCCUAAUACAUGCAAGUCGAGCGGACAGAUGGGAGCUUGCUCCCUGAUGUUAGCGGCGGACGGGUGAGUAACACGUGGGUAACCUGCCUGUAAGACUGGGAUAACUCCGGGAAACCGGGGCUAAUACCGGAUGGUUGUUUGAACCGCAUGGUUCAAACAUAAAAGGUGGCUUYGGCUACCACUUACAGAUGGACCCGCGGCGCAUUAGCUAGUUGGUGAGGUAACGGCUCACCAAGGCAACGAUGCGUAGCCGACCUGAGAGGGUGAUCGGCCACACUGGGACUGAGACACGGCCCAGACUCCUACGGGAGGCAGCAGUAGGGAAUCUUCCGCAAUGGACGAAAGUCUGACGGAGCAACGCCGCGUGAGUGAUGAAGGUUUUCGGAUCGUAAAGCUCUGUUGUUAGGGAAGAACAAGUACCGUUCGAAUAGGGCGGUACCUUGACGGUACCUAACCAGAAAGCCACGGCUAACUACGU
rnacentral:rRNA from 1 species